ACAGUGAUGUGGAGCGAAACUCAAAAAAAUAAGUCUCAGUUCGGAUUGAAGGCUGAAAUUCGCCUUCAUGAAGCCGGAAUUGCUAGUAAUGGCAGGUCAGCAUACUGCCGUGAAUACGUUCCCGGGCCUUGUACACACCGCCCGUCACACCAUGAGAGUUGGGAAUACCCGAAGCCUGUGAGCUAACUUUUAGAGGCAGCAGUCGAAGGUAGAAUCAAUGAUUGGGGUGAAGUCGUAACAAGGUAUC
rnacentral:rRNA from 1 species